UCCCAUUUUACAAAUAAAGAAACGGAGGCUCAGAGAGGUCAUAUCUCGUCAAAAGCUAUGAAUGGCAAAGCUUGGAGAUCACUCAAGAACACCCCCUCAACCUCAGCUGCAUGUCUUCUAACUAGGGCUGAGUCACUCCAGGUAGGGCCUGGCCCAGCCCAUGGCCAAUACCCAGUAAAUGCUUGUGAGAUGAAUUAGUUGGUGGAUUAAUUAAGUCUGCAGGGCUCUUUGUUAUAUGCUAACCUAAGUUUGAAAGGAUUUUUCUUUUGUUUUUUACUUUUUUUUUUUCUAGUAAUAAAAAGCAAAUUUAUUACCCAAAACUAGUAAAGGGGGAAGUAGCCAGAUUGCUAUUUAAAGUAACUGCUUCAAUUUUUAGAGGGGAAAGCAAUUUUUAGGGUUUUUAAAAGGGAAGACUUGAUAAGGAAGGCAUGCAAGAAAUGGGCUGAGUAUGAUGUCUGUGUGUUUUGUUCUGGUGGCUAUCUUGGGCUUCAGUCCACCUGGACCUCGGAUUGACAUUAUUUUAACAAUGGUCAGGUUGUUAAUUAGCCAUUUUGAAGUAAUUUUUGGAGGUUUGCAGCUGGGUCUCCAGGCUUGGUCUGUCUCAAGAUUAGCCACUGAAACUUCUAAGACAUCACACAAUUAAAUAGUAGCAUACAGUUAGAUAAAUGAAAAGGGAGCAUAUCUGGUGAGAAAGGGGAGGGACGUGGAGUCUAUUUUAAGGCUAAGGAGAAAGGAUUUUGAGUUUCCUCAAGGUUAUAUCUUGAAACUCAAGAGAAUGGGAAAAAAGUUUAAAAGCAUGUUGAAGUUAAGCUGCGGGCUGCAUUGCUUCUCAGAUACCUGCUACUCAGCUUCCCUCCUCAUUCACUCUGCUCCAGCCACUCUGAUCUCCUUGCACAUGAGCCAUGCCUGUAGUCCGCGGCCUCUGCACUGACUGUUCCUCUGCCAGGAGUAUCUAUGCCCCCUGCCUCACUUCAUGCCUCAGAUGUCAUCUUCUCAGUGAGGCUUACAUUGGUCAACCCUUUCUCAG
rnacentral:lncRNA from 1 species